AUGGACAAGCAGCAACAAGGCAAAAGGACGCAACCUUACACAACAAAGAAUGUUCUGCCCUCUUCAUCAACUCAUGCAUCAAGAAAAACUCACAAGAAAUACAUGGAGGCUAUUGCAGACAUGAAAAAUGCCACCACUAAAUCCACAACAUGGAUCACUUUGAAAGAGGACGCACGUGAAGACAACAUCACUAAGCUACUCUAG
rnacentral:rRNA from 1 species